AGCUCCAAUAGCGUAUAUUAAAGUUGUUGCGGUUAAAAAGCUCGUAGUUGGAUUUCUGUUGAGGACAGCUGGUCCGCCCCUUGGGUGAGUAUCUAGUUUGGCCUUGGCAUCUUCUUGGGGAACGUAUCUGCACUUGACUGUGUGGUGCGGUAUCCAGGACUUUUACUUUGAGGAAAUUAGAGUGUUUCAAGCAGGCUUACGCCUUGAAUACAUUAGCAUGGAAUAAUAAGAUAGGACCU
rnacentral:rRNA from 1 species